rnacentral:rRNA from 1 species
GAUGAACGCUGGCGGCGUGCCUAAUACAUGCAAGUCGAGCGAACAGAUAAGGAGCUUGCUCCUUUGACGUUAGCGGCGGACGGGUGAGUAACACGUGGGUAACCUACCUAUAAGACUGGAAUAACUCCGGGAAACCGGGGCUAAUGCCGGAUAACAUUUAGAACCGCAUGGUUCUAAAGUGAAAGAUGGUUUUGCUAUCACUUAUAGAUGGACCCGCGCCGUACUAGCUAGUUGGUAAGGUAACGGCUUACCAAGGCAACGAUACGUAGCCGACCUGAGAGGGUGAUCGGCCACACUGGAACUGAGACACGGUCCAGACUCCUACGGGAGGCAGCAGUAGGGAAUCUUCCGCAAUGGGCGAAAGCCUGACGGAGCAACGCCGCGUGAGUGAUGAAGGUCUUCGGAUCGUAAAACUCUGUUAUUAGGGAAGAACAAAUGUGUAAGUAACUGUGCACGUCUUGACGGUACCUAAUCAGAAAGCCACGGCUAACUACGUG